ACGAAGGUUUCCAACACACGCGACCCCUCUCUCUCUUUUUCCUUUCCUCUCCUCCAACCCCGCCUCUUUCCCGCUGCUCCGCCGCCACCUCUUUCGCCGCCAAAUACACCGCGUGCCGCCGCCCGUUCCUGUGCCCUAUUCAUCUCCCGUCCCGAGCUCCACCUCGUCCUGCCUCAUAUCCCCCGAUCUUCUCGAUUUGGAUCUCGGGAGCACACGAGAGGGAGGCGAGGUGCCUGUUGCUGGGAGACGGGCGAUGAGGAGUCUCGGCCCUUGGAUCUUUCUGUCUCGCGGGGCCAGGCCUCCCGUCCACGCCGCGCCGCCGCCGGCAUGGAGGCCAUGGCUCGGGCAGCUGCCGCGGUGUCGGGUGCGCCGGCGAGGUAUCUGGGUAUGCGCGAUGGGCGUGACCUCUCCCGGCUCCCCGCCCUCGUCUGCGACAACGAGGACCAAGAUGCAUUUACGGUGUUGUCUGGUGCGUCCUCGGGUUUGGUUGAUCGAGGCUAGCCACCCUAAGCUUACAUGAAUUGAUUCAUGGUCGUGCUGGACAUUCCCCAUGACGCCGCCAGCGCCAACGGGCUUCCGCAUCUCACCCAACCAAGAGUUAUGAUGCUACUACUCACUUUGAGACAACUGUGACAGGUGUUCUUAGCACUUUUGGCAAAAAUGUUGACAUUUCUUCAGCUUUAUAUAUGCAUGAGUGAACCUAAUCUUUUCUGUUCAAAUACUAAAUGUUUUCCCUCAGUUUUUUGUCGUGCACCAGUUGGAAAGAUGAUAAAUUUAGAAGCUUCUUUCUCUUUUCUUUGGGACAUGGGUAUUGAUGCUAGUAUUUUCUACCAUUAUCUUAACCUUGGUAGACUGAUGGUUAGCGUCAGGCAACCGCAGAUUUUUAUUGAUUUUUAUAGUCCCCCUCUGUAUAAAUCUUAUAUUUGUUCUAUUCUCCAUGAGUGAAUAAUUACCUAACUGUUGUUAAUCUGAGUUUGCAUUUUCAUAUGUGUUCACCAAUUCGGCUUCUGGGUGGCAAGAUUAGCUGAUUUAAAGCAUUCUCUUUGGGCAAACAUUAGUCACUGCUAUCCAAAAAUCUGCAGAACAAGCUUGUUGUAUACUUGUUUUAACUUGCAUAUAAGGGGCAAAUAAGAACGAAUGGAAAAGGAACACCUAAGCUUUCUUUAGUUGUGCUCAUUUUACAUUAGUGGACAAAGUUACAUAAGUUUGCCUGUAGCACUACUGAUAUCAGCGAUUAAAUUUAGCUGCUUUUUAGUUCUAUAGGCUGAAAAUGAUGUUGAGGUUCUAAACAUACUGUUUGACUGGGUUUUCUUCUUGAUGUGCAGCUAAAUUAGUCUUCCAGUUUGUCAACUUAGAUGAUAAGAAUUAUAUAUUCGUGUGUAAUUUUCAUUUGCUGGCGCUGAAGACAUAGAUGGGUGUUUGGCGUCCUUUUUUCUUUCUCCAAUUAGACAUUGUUAGUGUUUGUAUGAAGAUACGACUAGAAAAAUUGCUCUGUUUGCUAGAUAACAUGUUCAGUUCUGGACGGUGGCACCUUUUAUUGUAUCCAAAUUUUGUUUACCUCUUUCCGAUUUGAUGCAAUGACUUAGUUACUUUGUACAUGUUGGGUUCUCCUGGGAAAAACCUUUGUAAUUGAUACUGAAAUGGCAGGAUAAUCAAGCUUCCUUUCUGUACUGGAAGAAGCCAAACAAUGUGUAGUUACACACUUCGAUGGUACCGUCUGUCGGGUUAGGGCGACCAUGAGCGAAGCUGUUCCCUUCUCUGGGACUAAAUCCGAUCCAGUCACCUAAGUCAAUGUCGUCUACUAGGGAAGGGACAUGUGCUUGGUCUCCAUGCUAGCUUAUACCUUAACACUGAUUUGCUGUCUCCAUUGCUUUAUGUUCACGUACAUGAGUGUAUUAGGGAAUAAAGCAGAAACACAUAUGUACAUACAGUCUGGGAGCGCAAGCUGUGAUACUGAUGCACCUCCUCUAUGAUAGGUGACUUUGAAUGUUCAUUUCAUCUUUUUUUGAGUUGUUGAUUGUUUUUGAGAUAGCUAACCGCUUAUUCCAAGCGGUCAUUUCAUCUUUCUUUAUCUUGCUAUGGUAGGCUGUGAGGCUGAUGCACCUCCUGGAUGAUAGCUGGCUUUGAAUGUUCAUUUCAUCUUUGCUUAUAACUCAGUAACACAACCACUGCUGGCCUUAUGCAGCAAGUCAACCCCACCAUCUCUGCCCCCCUUUUCAUGGCGGCUUUGGACGACAGAUGAAUCGAGGCUGUCCCUUUCGUCCACUCACAUCCUCAGUUAUUUCUCUUAUAUACAUACAAAUUAUUAUGGGCGAUGGCCAUGGUCUGUGAAUUCAGGCGUCGUCUGUCGAGGUGAUGUCGACUUAUUCAAGCAGAAGGUUCAUGAGAAAUGUAGUCACUGGUGUUUCUGCACUAGAGCAUUCAGAGUUGUAAGUGACUUUACUUUGGUUACUGAUAGUGCCAAAAGGCACUCAAAAUGUAAGAAAAGUUAUGUGAAGAGAAGCACAACACCUUUACUAUAAGGAUACGGAUUUAUUUAGUGA